UACGUAGGGUGCAAGCGUUGUCCGGAAUUAUUGGGCGUAAAGAGCUCGUAGGCGGUCAGUCGCGUCUGCUGUGAAAACUCAGGGCUUAACCCUGAGCUUGCAGUGGGUACGGGCAGACUAGAGUGCGGUAGGGGAGACUGGAAUUCCUGGUGUAGCGGUGAAAUGCGCAGAUAUCAGGAGGAACACCCGUGGCGGAAGGCGGCUCUCUGGGACGGUACUGGACGCUGAGACGCGAAAGCGUUGGGGAGCAAACAGG
rnacentral:rRNA from 1 species